UCCUCAAUAUCUCACACCCACAGUAGGUCUCCUCAAUAUCUCAGACCCACAGUAGCUGUCUCCUCAAUAUCUCACACCCACAGUAGGUCUCCUCAAUAUCUCAGUCCCACAGUAGGUGUCUCCUCAAUAUCUCACACCCACAGUAGGUCUCCUCAAUAUCUCAGUCCCACAGUAGGUGUCUCCUCAAUAUCUCAGACCCACAGUAGGUGUCUCCUCAAUAUCUCACACCCACAGUAGGUCUCCUCAAUAUCUCAGACCCACAGUAGCUGUCUCCUCAAUAUCUCACACCCACAGUAGGUCUCCUCAAUAUCUCAGUCCCACAGUAGGUGUCUCCUCAAUAUCUCACACCCACAGUAGGUCUCCUCAAUAUCUCAGUCCCACAGUAGGUGUCUCCUCAAUAUCUCAGACCCACAGUAGGUGUCUCCUCAAUAUCUCACACCCACAGUAGGUCUCCUCAAUAUCUCAGACCCACAGUAGCUGUCUCCUCAAUAUCUCACACCCACAGUAGGUCUCCUCAAUAUCUCAGUCCCACAGUAGGUGUCUCCUCAAUAUCUCACACCCACAGUAGGUCUCCUCAAUAUCUCAGUCCCACAGUAGGUGUCUCCUCAAUAUCUCAGACCCACAGUAGGUGUCUCCUCAAUAUCUCACACCCACAGUAGGUGUCUCCUCAAUAUCUCACACUCACAGUAGGUCUCCUCAAUAUCUCAGACCCA